GGAGGCGUGGCUGAGUGGUUUAAAGCGGCGGUCUUGAAAACCGUUGUUCCGCAAGGAACCGUGGGUUCGAAUCCUACCGCCUCCGCCA
rnacentral:tRNA from 1 species